CUCUGGCACCUUUGCUCCAGUUCUCGCCGAGGAGGCGCAAACACAGUUUCUCGCUAUCCUCCUUCAGCGCUCGUAAAAAGGGGCAGGACCGCAGUAAAAGGGGAAAAGGAGGAAAAACAUUGACAGGAUGAACAACAGUUUCCUAAGCAUGGCGUCGAUAGUAGAUUUCGACCCGCUCAACCCUUCUGUUCCUGCCACCAAAGUUGAAAUCACGGUGUCCUGCAGAAACCUGCUGGAUAGGGACACCUUCUCCAAAUCAGACCCAAUAUGUGUACUCUACACACAAGCCAUGGGCAACAGGGAGUGGAGAGAG